CUGUUUUCAAAGUCUCUGAUUGGCUGCAGUAAUGACGGAAGUAAACAGUCUUCUGCAGUAAUCGGAAAUGCUUUGAUGAUUUACAGUUACUUGGAGUUUAUAAACAAUAAAAACAGACACUGAAGAGUCACAUUAUAACCUCGGAUAUGAGAAGAGUCACGCUGUUUGUAAAUGGAGCCUCACACAAUGGCAAGGUGGUGGCAGUUUAUGGAACUCUAGCUGAUCUACUCUCAGUUGCAAGCACAAAAUUUGGAAUAAAAGCUGCCA